CAGAUUUCAAAGGCAGAAGGAUGAAAGAUAACCAUGUAUCAGGUCUGUGUUUAUCAAGACAUGAAGACUAUGGAGUGGGACAAGAGAAGGAUGAUGGGGUGUAUAUUCCAAUAGACACAUUAAGUCACAUUGUGAUUUCAGUGAAAGCUGAUAAAUACAGAGGGCUGGACAGUGGUUUCAUUCAUUAGGUAAAGAGGUGGGACAAUAAUGCUGACUGGACAGGAGGAGGUGACAUUCAGACAUUCAGCGCAGACAUUUUCAUCCAAAGCAACUUGAGGAAGAUAACAGAAGCAGUUCACCCUAAAAGUGGGCUGCUGUAAUGUUUACAUCUAUGGAAAGAGGAGCUGGGAAGAAGCAGUACUUCUUGUUGAGGACAAUCCUGAAUAGGAACACUUUCUCAUAUACACAUAGAUUAUUAGUAGUGUUUGAUUAACUGGAACUUGUAUCUUUGCGUGAAGCUGGCUGUAGAGUUGGUUUCACAUACACAUUAAGUUUCUAAUUAACUAACUUUUAAGUUCAGUUUGGUUUAAACUUGUAUUUACCCAUGGUAAUUCAUUUAAAUUUCAAUUCAUGCUAAUAUAUUAAUUUCAAUGAAAACUUCUGUAUUUGUGUAUAGCUGGUAAUUUGGGCAAACUACAUUUCACACACCAAUGUAACUGUCACAAAGUUUUUUUUAUUAUCAGUUUGUUCUAAACUUUUGUAUGUUUACUAAGGAUGAAAUUGCUUUGUAAUUUAAGUUGUUGGUGUUAGAUUCAUGCCAAUAAUGUAUUUGAACAAACUAGUAUUUUUGUUUAUUGCUGGCAGUUUAUACUAGAAGAGUUUUAACACGUACAAUAUUGUAGUGUUAUUGACUUGUGUGUUAUUGAUUAAUAAAAGGCAAACAAUUUGAAAGUAAUU